UCGUCGCUUACCGUUCUAUUAUUAUUAAUAUUAUAUUAUCUUUUUCAUUAUGGAUCAAACAUUUAAAACAUUUAAAACUUUACACUCAUGCUUUGGAAAGGAAGUACUAGUAUUGUAUUGUGAUUUUUUUUAUUGCCAAAUCAUUUAUAGCAGUCUUGUGCGCAGUCAAAAAAAUAAUGAAUAAGAGGUGGAUGAUGAUGAUUUAGGAACUUCUGUGAUACAUCAUUAAUGUAUAAUAAUAGUAAAUCAGAUGUUCGAGGAAAAUAUAUUAUUAUGGAACCCUAACAAAUAUCAAUAGUUAAUGAAUCUUAUACAAACACUACAAAAAAGUAAUGUUUUACACUUGACAAUUCAUCUGGAACACUAAAAACAAAUUUUAUCCAGACAUUGGUCAUUUCCUGAACAUGGAAUAUAUCAAUGAUUUCACUAAACAUAAAUUUAAAAAUUUACCACUUAACCUCACCUUGGAUCUACCACAGGUAUAAUAUACGAGUAUAAUGUGUUGAAUAUGUUGAUAAUUUAUUGUAAUUUUUAAUUGGUCCUUUCAAGACCUUUGCUCUGAA